AAGAUCUUAAGUUAAAAAAACUAUAAGCCUUCAAAGCUUGCAAUAAAAGAUAAUUUUUUAGGUCUUG
rnacentral:tRNA from 1 species